rnacentral:lncRNA from 1 species
CUGAAUCUGGCAGCCACCGUGUUUGUCAGACCUGCCUGCCUUGUUCAGCAGGGAAACCACUUGCUAUGAUGAAUGGAGCUGCAUGCGAAACUUAGAUAAGCAGGCAGGUCGAAAACACCUCCCGUGCCAGCAUUCCAGUUUUCUUGCUUGGCCCAAGAACCUGGUUUCAUUUUGGAAAGGUGGAGGGAGUGUGGGGCGACCUUGUUGCCAUUUUCAGGCAUGGCUGGGCUCUCACACAGUCACUCUUAGAACAGACAUGUCCCUGCCUGGAGGCCAGGCCCUCUUGGAUUCUGGGAACCAAGCCCAAAAAUGUCAAACAAGUGGCAAAACCUUUAGGACACAGACACAGGAAGCAUCAACUCAGAGGCUUCGGCCAGGAUGUGAGCCUGACUUUCGCAGCCCCAACUGGCAGGCUGACCUCAUUUGAACUCCCUGGCGGUGGCAUCCUGGAGACACCCACAUAGCUGAGCUGGCACCGUAGGCACUCAUAAUCCAGGUUCAGUUUCUGCCAGCACUGAUUUGGUUUAUUCCACAUGGCUUGGGCCACUGCGGGACUCCGUUUGUUCCAGGGCCACCUUCCUGUCACCUUUUACUGUUUCUUGAGUCAGCAAGAAAGGCAGAUCCGACUGAAGACUCCAGCACUCUCCUCAGCUGCAGCCCCCACAAAGCUCCGUGAAGUCCUUUCCCCCACAGGACAGAUCUGAGGCACCCACCGUUAGAAGAAAAGAGUAGAGAAAUGAUAUGCAGGAAGAAGGCCCAUUCUGAUUCACCAAUCGCGUGGACGCAUUUUCCUACCAGGCUAGGAGGGAGG